AUUGAACGCUGGCGGAAUGCUUUACACAUGCAAGUCGAACGGUAGAGGGGGCAACCCCUCGAGAGUGGCGAACGGGUGAGUAAUAUAUCGGAACGUGCCCAGUCGUGGGGGAUAACGUAGCGAAAGUUACGCUAAUACCGCAUACGAUCUAAGGAUGAAAGCGGGGGAUCGCAAGACCUCGCGCGAUUGGCGCGGCCGAUAUCAGAUUAGGUAGUUGGUGGGGUAAAGGCUCACCAAGCCAACGAACUGUAGCUGGUCUGAGAGGACGACCAGCCAAACUGGGACGGGGAGACGGUCCAGGCUCCUACGGGAGGCAGCAGUGGGGAAUUUUGGACAAUGGGCGAAAGCCUGAUCCAGCCAUGCCGCGUGCAGGAUGAAGGCCCUCGGGUUGUAAACUGCUUUUGUACAGAACGAAAAGGUUUCUACUAAUACUAGGAGCUCAUGACGGUACUGUAAGAAUAAGCACCGGCUAACUACGUGCCAGCAGCCGCAGUAA
rnacentral:rRNA from 1 species